UACAGAGGUCCCGAGCGUUGUUCGGAUUCACUGGGCGUAAAGGGUGCGUAGGUGGUGAGGUAAGUCGGAUGUGAAAUCUCCGAGCUCAACUCGGAAAUGGCAUUGGAAACUACCUUGCUCGAGGGUUGGAGGGGGGACUGGAAUGCUUGGUGUAGCAGUGAAAUGCGUAGAUAUCAAGCGGAACACCAGUGGCGAAGGCGAGUCCCUGGACAACUCCUGAUACUGAGGCACGAAAGCUAGGGGAGCAAACAGG
rnacentral:rRNA from 1 species